rnacentral:tRNA from 1 species
CGCCGUCAUGGUCCGGCUUGACUGGACCAUCCAUUUCGGGCGUGGCGUUCGACGUCGAACUUGGGUCCUCCGGUCGAACCGGAGGACGACGGC